rnacentral:lncRNA from 10 species
UUUUUUUUUUACAGCACCUUGUUCACUGAUAGUGUUUUUUUUAAUAGGACAUAAAGGUUAUAGAAUGUUUAUAUAGGUUUUUAAGUAAUAGUGGUAUCUUUCAAAUAUUGCCGAAUGUUAUUUCAAUAACUACCUCUCAAGUUCUGUUUUUAAAUAAAUGAAUUUCUUUUAAUCAAAGAUUAAAAUUAAUUGACUCCUGACUUGACUAUAGGAAGUUUUAUGUCACACAGAAAUUUUCACUACAAUAUUUGUUAUCAUGGAACCUUACCUGUGUGAGAUGUAGAUAAAUCAAAAGAAAAACAUAAAGUUUACUAGAAAGAAAAUGCUAUAAUUGUGUCCCCCUAGAAAUUCAGAUGUUGAAGUCCUAAGCCCCAGUAGCUCAGAAUGUGACUGUAUUUGGAGAUAGGACCUCUGAAAAGUUACCUAAGUUAAAGUGGGGUCUUUAAGAUGAACGUUAAUCCAAUAUGACUGGUGUCCUUAGAAGAAGAGAUGAGGACACAGAAAACACAGGGCAACGGCCAUAUUAAGACACAGUGAC